GGCCCGUUGGUCAAGCGGUUAAGACACCGCCCUUUCACGGCGGUAACACGGGUUCGAAUCCCGUACGGGUCAUCA
rnacentral:tRNA from 118 species